rnacentral:rRNA from 1 species
ACGGAAGGCAGCAGUGGGGGAUAUUGCACAAUGGAGGAAACUCUGAUGCAGCAACGCCGCGUGAGGGAAGAAGGUCUUCGGAUUGUAAACCUCUGUUUUUGGUGAAGAAAUAAAUGACGGUAGCCAAAGAGGAAGCCACGGCUAACUACGUGCCAGCAGCCGCGGUAAUACGUAGGUGGCAAGCGUUAUCCGGAUUUACUGGGUGUAAAGGGCGCGUAGGCGGGGAUGCAAGUCAGAUGUGAAAUCUAUGGGCUUAACCCAUAAACUGCAUUUGAAACUGUAUCUCUUGAGUGUCGGAGAGGUAGAUGGAAUUCCUAGUGUAGCGGUGAAAUGCGUAGAUAUUAGGAGGAACACCAGUGGCGAAGGCGAUCUACUGGACGAUAACUGGCGCUGAGGCGCGAAAGCGUGGGGAGCAAACAGGAUUAGAUACCCUGGUA